UCUCUCUCUCUUCUCUCUUCUCUCUAUCUCUUUCUUCUUCUAACAUUGACCUAUUUGGGAGGACCAAAGUCAGCUUCAAUUUUGUUUCACAAGAUUUUGCUUAGUCGGAAGAUUUUUGAAAUCCCAGUGGGCAAACUAAAAGACUAAACUGUUCUCAGUUCUUUAAUCAGAUAGAGAUGUCAAUGGAAGAUAUUGCUGAUUCUUGUGAACAAAGCUCCUCAACUACACUAAAAUGAUCAAAACAACAAAUUUUCACUGUUCGGGAUUCUUUUGUUAAGGUAACAUAGACGGUAAUUUCUAGUGAUGGAAAGAUUAAAGUCCAAUGUACGCUUUAUGAAAAAGACUACAUAUAUGAUCCUAAAUUUGGAAUGUCAAAUUUGAAGCGCCAUUUGUUGAUAAAACAUCCAUUGAAUAAUACAAAAGAGGGUCACAGUGAACCAAUAGAUCAGAAAGUUUAUCGAGAGAAAAUAUCAUUAGCCAUAGUCAAGCAUAACUAUGCUUUCAGUUUUGUAGAACAUAAAGGCAUCAGAGACCUUCAUUCGUAUUUAAAUCUAGUAGCGAAGCAUAUAUCAAAAAACAAGGAGAAGUCAUAUAUUUUGAAUAUGUAUACAAGCGAAAAAGACAUUUUUAAAAACGAGCUUGAUGCUAUUCCUAGUAGAUUGUGUUUGACAUUAGAUAUGUGAACUUUACUAGCAUCUAAUGGCUUUAUGUGUGUAACGGCUCAGUAUGUGAAUUUAAAUUUGGUUCUUCAGAAGAGGGUGUUGAUUUUUCGUCAUGUUCCUCCUCCACAUUCGGGUGCGAUUUUAGGUACCUUGUUGAUUAAAUUUCUUAAAGAAUGGGGGAUCGAAAAGAAAAUCUUUACCAUUACAUUAGAUAAUGCUACUUGCAAUUACAAUGUAGUGAAUAGUUUAAAGAAUCAUUUGUCUUCGAUGAGUUCACUAAUUUGUGACGGAAAGUUUCUUCAUGUCCGUUGUGGGAAUGACAUUUUGAAAUUAAUUGUUAAGACGAACUUAGAGAAGGCUGAUGCAGCUAUUACGAAAACUAGAGAAGAUGUUAAGCAUAUCAAGAAUUCAGAAACAAGAAUAAUGAAAUUUGUGGAGUGUCUAAGUAAUCUUGGUCUAUCAUGUUCUAAGAAGCUACGCCAAGAUAUGCCUAUUCGAUGGAACUCCACCUACCAAAUACUUGAAAGUGCUCUUCUUUAUCGGCAAGCUUAUAUUCACUAUAACUUGAUUGGUUGAUUUUAGACAUGGCCUUUCUGAAGAUGAAUGAAAAAGGGUCGAGAUUAUAGCUAUGUUUUUGAAGCCAUUUUAUGACAUUACGGCGUUAUUUUCUGGAUGUAAAUGCCGAACGACUAAUUUGCAUCUUCCUAAUAUUUUUCAAAUCUUCAUCCUGAGGAGAUUGCUGAGGAAAAAGUGAAGGCUAUUGAAGAGAACUUACAAUUAUUGUUCAAAGAGUACUUGAUACCUUCGACUACAACCUCGUUAUAAGGGGGAUCAUGCUUGUAGUAAUGGUAGAAAUGAAAUGAGGGAUGCAUUUGAUGAGUUUGAGAGUCAGUUGGAGUCAAGCAACGGUAAAACACAACUAGAGUUGUAUUUGGAGAAAGCUAAUCUUGACCGUAUAACAAAUCCGAAUCUGGAUGUGGCUUUUGGAAGGAUAAUAGGCAAAGGUAUCUAGAACUCUCAUUAAUGGCACGAGAUAUCUUGAGUGUUUCAAUCACCACAGUAGCCUCUGAAUCUGCAUUUAGUAGGUGGUCAUUUUAUUGGAAAGUUUUGAACUUCUAUUCUUCCCGCAAAUGCCAAGGCAAAGCUAUGUACUAGGGAUUGGAUUUGUGGAAGAGAAGGUCUUAAUGAUGGAUCCGACUCUGAUGAAGAAGAUGAUAUUGUUGUUGAUCUUCAACCUUAUCUUGCGAAACUUAGAGUGGUGUAAACAAAAAACGAACUACAAUGUGAAAUCUUGACUAUACUACUCCCAUAUAAUAGAUGAGAACUUGCAGAUGAAGAGAAUGUAUGAGAGAACAUGCAGAUGAAGAGAAUUUGCAGAUGAAGAACUAGUCAAUCCCUUACUACUUGAAUUGCAGAUGAAGAAUUUAAGUGAACUUUGUAUAUUUUUUAUAUUUAAUCAUAGUACUUAGUUUUGUGAACUUUAUAUAUUAUUAACAAUUAAUCAUAGAAAAAUUUAAAGUCACAAGUUUUGAUACUGU